UACGUAGGGACCAAGCGUUGUUCGGAUUUACUGGGCGUAAAGGGCGCGUAGGCGGCGUGACAAGUCACUUGUGAAAUCUCCGGGCUUAACUCGGAACGGUCAAGUGAUACUGUCGUGCUAGAGUGCAGAAGGGGCAAUCGGAAUUCUUGGUGUAGCGGUGAAAUGCGUAGAUAUCAAGAGGAACACCUGAGGUGAAGACGGGUUGCUGGGCUGACACUGACGCUGAGGCGCGAAAGCUAGGGGAGCGAACGGG
rnacentral:rRNA from 1 species